GGGGACACACUCGAGUGAACUAAAGCUUCUCUCUUCCUUUCUCAGGAUUCUUUCCAAAGGAAAACAGGGUGGGCUGGAGGUGCUGUAGACUUCACAAGGUCUGACAUGGCCCAAGAGGGAGCAUGGCUAUGCUGUAUACCUGAUUCGGAGAUCAAAACGGUCAAGGCUAUUACAUUAGACAAUUCUCUUCAAAUU
rnacentral:lncRNA from 1 species